rnacentral:rRNA from 1 species
GGUGAACGCUGGCGGUAGGCCUAACACAUGCAAGUCGAACGGCAGCACAGUAAGAGCUUGCUCUUACGGGUGGCGAGUGGCGGACGGGUGAGGAAUACAUCGGAAUCUACUUUUUCGUGGGGGAUAACGUAGGGAAACUUACGCUAAUACCGCAUACGACCUACGGGUGAAAGCAGGGGAUCUUCGGACCUUGCGCGAUUGAAUGAGCCGAUGUCGGAUUAGCUAGUUGGCGGGGUAAAGGCCCACCAAGGCGACGAUCUGUAGCUGGUCUGAGAGGAUGAUCAGCCACACUGGAACUGAGACACGGUCCAGACUCCUACGGGAGGCAGCAGUGGGGAAUAUUGGACAAUGGGCGCAAGCCUGAUCCAGCCAUACCGCGUGGGUGAAGAAGGCCUUCGGGUUGUAAAGCCCUUUUGUUGGGAAAGAAAAGCAGCAGGUUAAUACCCCGCUGUUCUGACGGUACCCAAAGAAUAAGCACCGGCUAACUUCGUG